rnacentral:rRNA from 1 species
AUUGAACGCUGGCGGCAUGCCUUACACAUGCAAGUCGAACGGCAGCGGGGGAGAAGCUUGCUUUUCCUGCCGGCGAGUGGCGAACGGGUGAGUAAUACAUCGGAACGUGCCCUGUAGCGGGGGAUAACUAGUCGAAAGAUUAGCUAAUACCGCAUACGACCUGAGGGUGAAAGUGGGGGACCGCAAGGCCUCAUGCUAUAGGAGCGGCCGAGGUCUGAUUAGCUAGUUGGUGGGGUAAAGGACUACAAAGGCGACGGUCAGUAGCUGGUCUGAGAGGACGAUCAGCCACACUGGGACUGAGACACGGCCCAGACUCCUACGGGAGGCAGCAGUUGGGAAUUUUGGACAAUGGGCGAAAGCCUGUUCCAGCAAUGCCGCGUGUGUGAAGAAGGCCUUCGGGUUGUAAAGCACUUUUGUCCGGAAAGAAAUGGCUCUGGUUAAUACCUGGGGUCGAUGACGGUACCGGAAGAAUAAGGACCGGCUAACUACGUGCCAGCCGCCGCAGUAA